rnacentral:rRNA from 1 species
GACGAACGCUGGCGGCGCGCCUAACACAUGCAAGUCGAGCGAGAACCGGGCUUUCGGGCCCGGGGAAAGCGGCGAACGGGUGAGUAACACGUGGGUAACCUGCCCUCGGCACCGGGAUAGCCCGGGGAAACUCGGAUUAAUACCGGAUGGCCUCCGGAGCCUUCGGGCGCCGGAGAAAAGGUGGCUUCGGCAUCUGGCCGAGGAGGGGCUUGCGGCGGAUUAGCUCGUUGGUGGGGUAAUGGCUGACCAAGGCGACGAGCCGUAGCUGGUCUGAGAGGACAAUCAGCCACACUGGGACUGAGACACGGCCCAGACUCCAACGGGAGGCAGCAGUGGGGAAUAUUGGACAAUGGGCGGAAGCCUGAUCCAGCAACGCCGCGUGAGGGAUGACGGCCUUCGGGUUGUAAACCUCUUUCAGCACCGACGAAGCGCAAGUGACGGUAGGUGCAGAAGAAGGACCGGCCAACUACGUGCCAGCCGCCGCCGUAAUAC